CGCCCAUUGGUCCAUGCGGGGGAUAUUUGACAUUGGUUCACGUGGCUCACCUACGCGUAUUCCCGGCCUAUGGUUUCGCUAUGCAAUUCAGACCGAUUGUACCGGUGUGAUGUCGCACACCCUGUGGUUGUACUGUUGGCUGUGCGGAAGGUCUAGUAUUCUGGGGCGAAAUUUGGCUCUGACAAUGUUACAUAGGAUGGGUUCUGUGGGUCCGGUCUGUGUUCGUGCGCCUUCAUAGAGGGACUACCGGUGGCAAACCGGGGGAAGUACGGCAAUAGCAGGUCAGUGAUGCCCUUAGAUGUUCUGGGCUGCACGCGCGCUACAAUGGUAACGACAGUGAGUUUCUGCGCCGAAAGGUGCGGGUAAUCUUUUCAAUCGUUAUCGUGCUGGGGAUUGGGCCUUGAAAUUAUUGUUCAUGAACCUGGAAUUCCUCGUAAGU
rnacentral:rRNA from 1 species